AUUGAACGCUGGCGGCAUGCCUUACACAUGCAAGUCGAACGGCAGCACGGGUGCUUGCACCUGGUGGCGAGUGGCGAACGGGUGAGUAAUACAUCGGAACGUACCUUAUCGUGGGGGAUAACGCAGCGAAAGCUGUGCUAAUCCCGCAUACGCCCUGAGGGGGAAAGCGGGGGAUCGCAAGACCUCGCGCGAUUAGAGUGGCCGAUGCCUGAUUAGCUUGUUGGUGGGGUAAAAGCCCACCAAGGCGACGAUCAGUAGCUGGUCUGAGAGGACGAUCAGCCACACUGGGACUGAGACACGGCCCAGACUCCUACGGGAGGCAGCAGUGGGGAAUUUUGGACAGUGGGGGCAACCCUGAUCCAGCAAUGCCGCGUGAGUGAAGAAGGCCUUCGGGUUGUAAAGCUCUUUUGUCAGGGAAGAAACACCGGCUCUAACACAGUCCGGGAAUGACGGUACCUGAAGAAUAAGCACCGGCUAACUACGUGCCAGCCGCCGCAGUAA
rnacentral:rRNA from 1 species